GCUCCAAGACAUUGUGACAAAACUGAAGGGAGUGUAAGACCUCUGCAAAGUUGUUCACGAAAGAGCAAAUAAUUGAAUGGGAGGAAUUCAGAUGUGAAACUGGAAUUGCCAGAGACCUUCUCUUUGGAGCCUCAAAUGUGUGCCAUGUUCCUGAGCUUUACUUUGAUGUGAAGUAAAUGUUAAGGUGCUUCCGAGGGCAGACCUGCCUCCUGUCUUACCAAGGGAUUCACUUCUUUCCCUUCACCUCUUCAUUCUCCCGCCAAGCCAGAAAGGAGUCUCCAUUUUCGUGACCAAAUUCCAGGGAUCAGCCCCUUUCUCAAGAGACCUCUCAUUCAGCAGGAUGGAGAAAGCGUCGUUGAACACCCUGCAGGCUCAGUCCUCAGCGUGCUGUCCUCAGUGGCUCUAGUGAAGAAGGCUGACAGAUACAAUGCAG